CAGUCGCUCAGUGCAUGCUUGUUGGCCCUUCUGACAUGAUCCUGACAAUCUGUCUCCACCAGCCCUGGCUUCGGACUUUCAUCCACUGCUCUUUGGAUUUGUGAGCGGGAUGCGGGAGUGGGCAGAGCCGACAGACGUAAAGCGCGAUGACAGAAUUCUCGACGUGCUGCUUAAUUAUCAUCAAAACGACUGCGAGAAAAGUUUGGAUCGUGUUUGUGUCCAUGGCGUAACGACAAACAGAGAUGACAGAAAAGUCGGUAGCAGCUGAAGUGUGUGUUUUCUUCCCGUCGCCGUAAAUAUGUUCGUGUCCCUGUCCAAUCAGAACCCUUCCCCAGUUCCAGACGUUGAGAGGAAUAAAAAAAAGGCGAUUUAAUGUG